UGUGCAGCAGGGUCAACAACAGUAUCUUCAGUCCCUGGAAAGCAUUUUCUUGUUGAAUUUUUGUAUUCCUGGCAAUCACCACUGCUAACCUUCUCCUAAACAUGGCUUACUGGCACAGGUUGCCCAGAGAAGCUAUGGAUAUUCCAUCCCUGGAGGGAAUCAAGGAGGGGGCCCUGAGCAGCCUGAUCUAGUGAGUGGCAACCCUGACCAUGGUAGGGAGGUGGAAAGGGAUGGACUUUAAGGUCCCUAAACCAUUGUGUGAGUCUGUGAUUUUAUGUGUGACCUCACAGGGACCUCACCUCAGCAAGCAGGCUGUCACUCACUCUCCGUUUCCUUUCUGUAAACUCUCUUCAGCAUUUCUUCUGCAGUAAACAGGAUGACUUCCCUAAUGGCACUGUGGCUCCUGUAGGAUCCACUCCACUAAAUAACCAGGCUGAAAUACUGCAACAUUGCCUUCAUUCUCCCUGGGUGCCCAGAAUGCUUCUCUGCUAGUAGUAACUGCAACAUAACCAAGCUGCUCAACUCAGGAAAUGUGCCACCUGGAAAACACAGUGACUGGCAUGCCUUAGUGCUUUCCAUCCAUUUCAGCGAGUUUCUCUUCAUGCCAUUUUAAUGAAAUGCUGCGGACAACAGGGAGAGAUGACUGCCUGGGCAAGCACAGGAAAGUGUGAUAAGCAGUCAGUUUGGAUCACGACUACUCUAAGGAUGUGGUGGAACUUCACCGCUGGCUGCAGCUACUCUGGCAGCGGGCGCUGGUCCAGGCCGGGCCUUUGGUGCGGCCGGGCACAGUGCCACGGGUGGGGCAGCCUGCCACUCCUUGAGCCCAGCAAACUGCUCCUUGAGCCCAGCAAACUGCUCCUUGAGCCCAGCCUGCCACUCCUUGAGGCCGGCAUGCCGCUCCUUGGGCCCAGCUUGCCACUUCCUGGGCCUGCUGCCCGCUGGGCUGUGCUGGGCCAUGCUGGCUGUGCGAGGCUGCUUACACCAUGUGAACAGUUACUCUUAAUGGGGCUGUGCUCCUUGCCUCCUCGGUUCAGGUCUGGUUGGUCCUUUACUUUGGUGGAGCUGGAAUGAGGAAGAGCUGAGACCUUUAGGGCUUUCCUGAAGUUUUCAGAUGCCAGACACAUAUCUCACUGAUGGCAGUAGAAGACUUGCAGCAGAGCUGUCUGGACCACUGGAACUGUUUCUGCCCCUGGUCCUCAUGCACCGGGCAAAAGUGAGGUUCAGUACAGUAGGGUUCACUCUGGUUGCUGUAUUUACUGCCAGCACUUUAACUGAAACAGCGGAUUAUUUGGGAACUGGGGCCAAAGUCUUU
rnacentral:lncRNA from 1 species